rnacentral:tRNA from 1 species
GGGGGUGUAGUUUAAUUGGAAAAAUACUUGCUUUGCACGUAUGAGUAAUCGGUUCAAAUCCGGUCACCUCCA